GGAUAUAUAGCUCAGUUGGUAGAGUACUUGCCUUGCGUGCACAAGCCCCUGGAUUCAAUUCCCAGUACCA
rnacentral:tRNA from 1 species